AACUAAAAUAAAAUAUCUCUAAUAAAAGAUUUAAUUAAAGAUUGUACAUAGAUUUUCCUGCUCCGUAAAAGAUUAUUCCUCCUCCGUAAGCUGCCAAUAAAAUACCAAAAACAAAUCAAAUUCCUAACUAAAAUCACGCUAAAAUAAAAAUAAGGGAUUUGAAAUUAUCCCCCAUAACCCACGUAAAAACCGUCCCACACCUCUCCCCAAAUCUCUCCAACCUCUCCACCAAAUCUACCACUCCUCUAUAAUACAGAUUCACUCUUCGUUCCUUUCUUCCCAUCUCUGCAGCAAGCCUUCUUCUUCACAACUGCAAUUCAAGGACCGAACAAGAGGAUCAAGAAUCAUCCUCUCCAAAGCCUUGCAAAUUCUGAAACUUCAUCCAGUCACUGAUUGUUCAAGGUGAUAUCUCGCAAGGGAAUCGUGAUCGCAAAGGAAAGAAAAUAGUUUUGGAAUAAGCACUCGAGGUUGAGCGGCGACGAGGAUGUGGUGGUGUUGAGCAAAUGAAACUUAAAGAUAAUAUUGUUGUUUCGAACCUUGAGUGUCGUUGUGUCUUCACACAUGACGUCACUCUUUCUCUUGGUCGUUUCCGCUGUGAUACUGAUUGCACUUAUUAUUUAUUGGGCUUACAGACUUAAA